UACGUAGGGCGCAAGCGUUAUCCGGAAUUAUUGGCGUAAGAGCUCGUAGGCGGUUUGUCGCGUCUGCCGUGAAAGUCCGGGGCUCAACUCCGGAUCUGCGGUGGGUACGGGCAGACUAGAGUGAUGUAGGGGAGACUGGAAUUCCUGGUGUAGCGGUGAAAUGCGCAGAUAUCAGGAGGAACACCGGUGGCGAAGGCGGGACUCUGGGCCGAUACUGACGCUGAGGAGCGAAAGCUAGGGGAGCAAAUGGG
rnacentral:rRNA from 1 species